AUGCUCUUACCGACGAUGCACUCGGAUAGUUGAUUCCAAGAACCUAUAUUGUGUUAGAUGGCACCACAAAAUGGGAGAUACGGUUGUGGAAGUGGUAGCGUCCGGUUCACGGAGAAGGAAUAUUAGCAGGCCAUAGCAGGCUACAGUUCGUGGAGUCGUCGGAGACGAAACUGUGAGAAUCAUAGACAUUGUCUAUGAGCAAAGAACAUUUCGACUCGUUAGCUGACUCGUUAACUGAAGAAUGAAUCCUUGGUCCACGCCUGACGAUCGAAGGGCCAAGCCGCUUUAGUCGGCAAUAGGCAGGAAAGAUAAAGUAUAACCUGAGGUGGUUAUCGGUGGUUGUUCGAGGUGGUUGAAGGUGGUCGGAGUUGGACGAGGAGGAGGACGAGGAGGAGGACGAGGAAGACGAGGAAAACAAGGUGGACGAGGAGGGCGAGGUUUGUGCUCGAUGAGUUUAACAUUUUCAUGAUAUUUGAUGAAGUAGGAUCAGGACCAGAAGUAGGAAUAGUAGUGGGAUCAGUAGCAGGAGUAGAAGUAGGAUCAAGAAUAGGAUCAGGAGUAGGAGUAGAAGUAGAAGUAGGAUCAGAAGUGGGAUCGGGAGUAUGAGUAGGAUCGUGGAAAGAUGUAAAUAUAGGAGUGGGAGUAGGAGUAAGAUCAGGAAUGAAUUAAUUGUGGCAUUACCCCAACGUAAUUUUGCGAGAGAAAUCGAUUAUGAGCAGUCCCAAUACGCUGCAAUCAACGCAUCGGAAGUUACAGCCAAAAAA